GAUGAACGCUAGCUACAGGCUUAACACAUGCAAGUCGAGGGGCAGCAUGGUCUUAGCUUGCUAAGGCCGAUGGCGACCGGCGCACGGGUGAGUAACACGUAUCCAACCUGCCGUCUACUCUUGGACAGCCUUCUGAAAGGAAGAUUAAUACAAGAUGGCAUCAUGAGUCCGCAUGUUCACAUGAUUAAAGGUAUUCCGGUAGACGAUGGGGAUGCGUUCCAUUAGAUAGUAGGCGGGGUAACGGCCCACCUAGUCUUCGAUGGAUAGGGGUUCUGAGAGGAAGGUCCCCCACAUUGGAACUGAGACACGGUCCAAACUCCUACGGGAGGCAGCAGUGAGGAAUAUUGGUCAAUGGGCGAGAGCCUGAACCAGCCAAGUAGCGUGAAGGAUGACUGCCCUAUGGGUUGUAAACUUCUUUUAUAAAGGAAUAAAGUCGGGUAUGGAUACCCGUUUGCAUGUACUUUAUGAAUAAGGAUCGGCUAACUCCGUGCCAGCAGCCGCGGUAAUACGGAGGAUCCGAGCGUUAUCCGGAUUUAUUGGGUUUAAAGGGAGCGUAGAUGGAUGUUUAAGUCAGUUGUGAAAGUUUGCGGCUCAACCGUAAAAUUGCAGUUGAUACUGGAUAUCUUGAGUGCAGUUGAGGCAGGCGGAAUUCGUGGUGUAGCGGUGAAAUGCUUAGAUAUCACGAAGAACUCCGAUUGCGAAGGCAGCCUGCUAAGCUGCAACUGACAUUGAGGCUCGAAAGUGUGGGUAUCAAACAGGAUUAGAUACCCUGGUAGUCCACACGGUAAACGAUGAAUACUCGCUGUUUGCGAUAUACUGCAAGCGGCCAAGCGAAAGCGUUAAGUAUUCCACCUGGGGAGUACGCCGGCAACGGUGAAACUCAAAGGAAUUGACGGGGGCCCGCACAAGCGGAGGAACAUGUGGUUUAAUUCGAUGAUACGCGAGGAACCUUACCCGGGCUUAAAUUGCAGAUGAAUUACGGUGAAAGCCGUAAGCCGCAAGGCAUCUGUGAAGGUGCUGCAUGGUUGUCGUCAGCUCGUGCCGUGAGGUGUCGGCUUAAGUGUCAUAACGAGCGCAACCCUUGUUGUCAGUUACUAACAGGUUCCGCUGAGGACUCUGACAAGACUGCCAUCGUAAGAUGUGAGGAAGGUGGGGAUGACGUCAAAUCAGCACGGCCCUUACGUCCGGGGCUACACACGUGUUACAAUGGGGGGUACAGAGGGCCGCUACCACGCGAGUGGAUGCCAAUCCCCAAAACCUCUCUCAGUUCGGACUGGAGUCUGCAACCCGACUCCACGAAGCUGGAUUCGCUAGUAAUCGCGCAUCAGCCACGGCGCGGUGAAUACGUUCCCGGGCCUUGUACACACCGCCCGUCAAGCCAUGGGAGCCGGGGGUACCUGAAGUGCGUAACCGCGAGGAGCGCCCUAGGGUAAAACUGGAG
rnacentral:rRNA from 1 species